rnacentral:rRNA from 1 species
GAUGAACGCUGGCGGCGUGCCUAAUACAUGCAAGUCGAGCGAACAGACGAGGAGCUUGCUCCUCUGACGUUAGCGGCGGACGGGUGAGUAACACGUGGAUAACCUACCUAUAAGACUGGGAUAACUUCGGGAAACCGGAGCUAAUACCGGAUAAUAUAUUGAACCGCAUGGUUCAAUAGUGAAAGACGGUUUUGCUGUCACUUAUAGAUGGAUCCGCGCCGCAUUAGCUAGUUGGUAAGGUAACGGCUUACCAAGGCAACGAUGCGUAGCCGACCUGAGAGGGUGAUCGGCCACACUGGAACUGAGACACGGUCCAGACUCCUACGGGAGGCAGCAGUAGGGAAUCUUCCGCAAUGGGCGAAAGCUUGACGGGGCAACGCCGCGUGAGUGAUGAAGGUCUUCGGAUCGUAAAACUCUGUUAUUAGGGAAGAACAAAUGUGUAAGUAACUAUGUACGUCUUGACGGUACCUAAUCAGGAAGCCACGGCUAACUACGUG